UACGUAGGGCGCAAGCGUUGUCCGGAAUUAUUGGGCGUAAAGAGCUCGUAGGCGGUUUGUCGUGUCUGCUGUGAAAACCUGAGGCUCAACCUCGGGCUUGCAGUGGGUACGGGCAGACUAGAGUGCGGUAGGGGUGACUGGAAUUCCUGGUGUAGCGGUGGAAUGCGCAGAUAUCAGGAGGAACACCGAUGGCGAAGGCAGGUCACUGGGCCGCAACUGACGCUGAGGAGCGAAAGCAUGGGGAGCGAACAGG
rnacentral:rRNA from 1 species